rnacentral:sRNA from 1 species
UGCCGAUGAAACAUUUCAUAUCUUCAGU